GAUGAACGCUGGCGGCGUGCUUAACACAUGCAAGUCGAGCGAAGCACCUUGACGGAUUUCUUCGGAUUGAAGCCUUGGUGACUGAGCGGCGGACGGGUGAGUAACGCGUGGGUAACCUGCCUCAUACAGGGGGAUAACAGUUGGAAACGACUGCUAAUACCGCAUAAGCGCACAGUACCGCAUGGUACGGUGUGAAAAACUCCGGUGGUAUGAGAUGGACCCGCGUCUGAUUAGGUAGUUGGUGGGGUAACGGCCCACCAAGCCGACGAUCAGUAGCCGACCUGAGAGGGUGACCGGCCACAUUGGGACUGAGACACGGCCCAAACUCCUACGGGAGGCAGCAGUGGGGAAUAUUGCACAAUGGGGGAAACCCUGAUGCAGCGACGCCGCGUGAGCGAUGAAGUAUUUCGGUAUGUAAAGCUCUAUCAGCAGGGAAGAAAAUGACGGUACCUGACUAAGAAGCCCCGGCUAACUACGUGCCAGCCGCCGCAGUAACAC
rnacentral:rRNA from 1 species